rnacentral:rRNA from 1 species
GAUGAACGCUGGCGGCGUGCCUAGUACAUGCAAGUCGAGCGAAUGGAUUAAGAGCUUGCUCUUAUGAAGUUAGCGGCGGACGGGUGAGUAACACGUGGGUAACCUGCCCAUAAGACUGGGAUAACUCCGGGAAACCGGGGCUAAUACCGGAUAAUAUUUUGAACUGCAUGGUUCAAAAUUGAAAGGCGGCUUCGGCUGUCACUUAUGGAUGGACCCGCGUCGCAUUAGCUAGUUGGUGAGGUAACGGCUCACCAAGGCAACGAUGCGUAGCCGACCUGGGAGGGGGAUCGGCCACCAGGGGACUGAGAAACGGCCCAGAUUCCUACGGGAGGCAGCAGUAGGGAAUCUUCCGCAAUGGACGAAAGUCUGACGGAGCAACGCCGCGUGAGUGAUGAAGGCUUUCGGGUCGUAAAACUCUGUUGUUAGGGAAGAACAAGUGCUAGUUGAAUAAGCUGGCACCUUGACGGUACCUAACCAGAAAGCCACGGCUAACUACGUGCCAGCCGCCGCAGUAA